CGCGUAGGCGGGAUGGCAAGUCGGUCGUGAAAUCCUUCGGCUCAACCGAAGAACGUCGAUCGAUACUGCUGUUCUUGAGGAUUGCAGAGGAGACUGGAAUUCCCGGUGUAGCGGUGAAAUGUGUAGAGAUCGGGAGGAACACCGGUGGCGAAGGCGGGUCUCUGGGCAAUUCCUGACGCUGAGGCGCGAAAGCGUGGGGAGCAAACG
rnacentral:rRNA from 1 species